rnacentral:tRNA from 1 species
UAAAAAUUAGUUAAAAUAUAAUAUUAAUUUGUCAAAUUAAAGUUAUUUGAAAAAAAUAUUUUUAA